UUUAAUGUUGUCUACAGUGUCUCUCCA
rnacentral:piRNA from 1 species